UACGUAGGGGGCUAGCGUUGUCCGGAAUCAUUGGGCGGAAAGCGCGUGUAGGCGGUCCGGUAAGUCCGCUGUGAAAGUCGGGGGCUCAACCCUCGGAUGCCGGUGGAUACUGUCGGGCUUGAGUACGGAAGAGGCGAGUGGAAUUCCUGGUGUAGCGGUGAAAUGCGCAGAUAUCAGGAGGAACACCAAUUGCGAAGGCAGCUCGCUGGGACGUUACUGACGCUGAGACGCGAAAGCGUGGGGAGCAAACAGG
rnacentral:rRNA from 1 species